rnacentral:rRNA from 1 species
GACGAACGCUGGCGGCGUGCUUAACACAUGCAAGUCGAACGGCAAGGCCCUGCUUUUUUGGGGUGCUCGAGUGGCGAACGGGUGAGUAACACGUGAGUAACCUGCCCUUGACUUUGGGGUAACUUCAGGAAACUGGGGCUAAUACCGGAUAGGAGCUCCUGCUGCAUGGUGGGGGUUGGAAAGUUUCGGCGGUUGGGGAUGGACUCGCGGCUUAUCAGCUUGUUGGUGGGGUAGUGGCUUACCAAGGCAUUGACGGGUAGCCGGCCUGAGAGGGUGACCGGCCACAUUGGGACUGAGAUACGGCCCAGACUCCUACGGGAGGCAGCAGUGGGGAAUAUUGUACAAUGGGAGGAAGCCUGAUGCAGCAACGCCGCGUGCGGGAUGACGGCCUUCGGGUUGUAAACCGCUUUCGCCUGUGACGAAGCGUGAGUGACGGUAAUGGGUAAAGAAGCACCGGCUAACUACGUG